rnacentral:misc_RNA from 1 species
GAAUCACCUGUCAAUCAAGUAAUACAAAUAGGAACUGCUUUUAUUGCUUUCAAGCUUGAAGCACCUUUGGCUCUUGUCCUCAGUCUUCCUUGCUCAAUAUUUAGUAUAAUUACGCUACUUUUCCUUUCAAAUAUGGUUGAAAGCUGUAAGAAUGUGCUAGGUGUUACAUUCAACUGAAAAAAAAAACAUGGACUUGUUUCCAUAUGUUUACGUGCAG